rnacentral:lncRNA from 1 species
GUGGAUUUCCCCCAAAUUCUGAAAAUACAUACUGUAAAUCUUUGAACAAUCCAGAACAGUACAAGGAUGAAAGUGAGAAGUAUCUGAUAUUCAAAAUCCAUUAUUAAUAUUUGGUAACCAGUCUUGCAGUCAUAGGUCUAGGCGUGUUUUCCUGUACUCUAAUUUCCCCAUACAGCAACAUUAUGUAUGAACAACUUUGCACAUCACUUGGAUCCUGCACUUCUCUAUGUACUCUUAACAUGCCAUCUUUAUCUGGGGGCUCCUAUUCUGCAGAGCGAAACUUUGCAAAUAUAGCAGCAGAUUGAAAGAGCAAAAGAUCUUUAGACCCUUACUACAACUA